AUAGCCGUGUUUCGAGUUAUGCCGGAACACCGUUUUUAUUCGAUUUUUACUCGCGCCUUCACUAAAAUGUUCCACAUGGUAACUUCCGGUUUCGUGACGUUUUCUUGAAAUAUCAAAACAAAAACAUGAAAAAGCGGAAUAUCAUAGUAAAUAAUAGGAGGUUUGGCUGAAGAUAUGAUUUUUUUUUUCUCCUGGCUUGUUUCCGAUUUGCAGAACUAUCUCCAGGACAAAGGAAUUCAGUGCAGUAUGGCGAGAAACUUGGAUUUACAAUGUACAUGUAGAUCUAGGUCGUUGUGAACUCGUUCACGAACUUAAUCUUGAGCGUUGAGAUGUAUUCUCAUGGUGAAUAUGUAGACGUCGAUACUCGAUGCAGAUAUGUGUUCGUUGGAUCGGAGAAGGUGAUACUGGACCAAGUCAGCCAUCCUAAGUUUCUAACUGGAACAAGGAUUUAGAUGUAGGAUCUUUGGAUGUUUUAGUUUACCUCAUGCAGAAGUGUCGGUGGAGUUCUGCAUGUGUAUUACAAGCAGGACAAUCAAUGGUUAUUAUCUUCAUAUGGAUAUAAUGGAGUAUGUAAGCAUUGUGUUGCCUUCAUUUUCUCAUUGUCCAAUUUUUUUGUGAAAAGCACAGGGACCGAAGCAAUGAGGCCUAUACAGACAUACAGUGUGUCUGGGAUAAGCCAAAGAAAAAGUCUGCACCAUGUGAAAUAAGCAAGAUAGAUUGAGGAUUGAUCAUACCCAACCACCAUCCAUUGUGUCAACAUUGUGUAAUAUCCACACAUAAAGCAUGCUUGUUUUGAGAUACACACAGAAACUUAGACAUUUAAGAGCAUUGGCAAUAAAUUCUAUUACAAUGUGUAGCUAGAGUAUUAAAUCAUUAUACAAUGUACAUAGCACUCAUAGUACAUAAAGUAUUUCGUAUAAACUACAUUUAAUUUUAAAAGAUAAAGAAUGUUUAAUUAGCUCUCAGUCAAUAAUUUUAUCUUUUUUAUUAAAAAUGAAAUACAUCUCAUUUGUAUAAUAUACAUUGUAUGUCUAGUUGUUUUAAUACAAUUAUUUGAGACUUUUAAAAAUAAACAUUUUACAAAUCUGAAGCAUUUUUUCCCUCAUAAUAAUUAUUUCUUUACAAGUGGCUUUUGAAGUUUGCACAAAAAUGCACAUACAGUAAGAAUUUGAUUUGGUUCAGGUUUUAGAUUUAGCGGCAUAGUUUUUGACAAAAUCCGAAAAGUUUUCAAUCUACCAAUAGCUCUCUCUAUAUGAAUCCUCAAUUGAGCAAUAUGUGGAUCUCUCAGGAGUGUAUCUGGAUCAUUAUACUGUUUUGCUUUUUGCUGCAAAUUGUCUGUAUCAGUAAUGCUGAAAUCUGUCUGAGUUAAUGCAUCUGUGUUGCUGAGUGGGAUACCGGUAUGCUCUCCAUAAUCAUGAUCUCUUGCAAUAUCUUCUAUAUAAAGCAAACAUCAGUAUUUAUGAUACUUUAAGAAUGUGAAUACAAUCAUCUGUUUGAUAAUAGCCAUUUGUAAUUCUUAAAUUAACUGAUGAUGUGAAUUCAUAAUAUCAAUAUGAGAUGUAAAAUAACAUUUUUAAGCACCUGGCUAUGGUUGGGAGACGGAUGUCUCCCUGUCAGAAAUCACACAUUCUUUUACAACAGCCAUUCUAUUCUUGGGGAUUUAUGUCAUCAGCAUCAACCUGAGACAAGAAAUGAAGCAAAAA